AAAGAAGUCUGGCCUGGAAUCACAAUACUUCAUCUAUCCUGGCUGUGAUUUUGAGGAGCUUCUUGAAGUGGCUGUGCACAGAUCACGCAGGGGAUUACAACCUGAAACAAAUUACUUGUAAAAUGUGUUUAAAGACCAAUCAAACUCUUUGAGGUAUGAAACGACAGAAGGUUGUGUUCCGUAAAUCGAUAUGAAGAUUCCUCAAGGAGAAACUGAAAGUCCGCCUGACAUUUGCAAAGGAUCAGAGAUCCAUUCAGUGAAAGUUCUAGAAGAAGCACCAGAAUCUCCCGGUUCAUGGUCCACGUUAAGCAGAUGA
rnacentral:lncRNA from 1 species